rnacentral:rRNA from 1 species
GUGUUCGAAAGGGAAACAGCCCAGACCACCAGCUAAGGUCCCAAAAUAUAUGUUAAGUGGAAAAGGAUGUGGCGUUGCCCAGACAACUAGGAUGUUGGCUUAGAAGCAGCCAUCAUUUAAAGAGUGCGUAAUAGCUCACUAGUCGAGUGACACUGCGCCGAAAAUGUACCGGGGCUAAACAUAUUACCGAAGCUGUGGAUUGUCCUUUGGACAAUGGUAGGAGAGCGUUCUAAGGGCGUUGAAGCAUGAUCGUAAGGACAUGUGGAGCGCUUAGAAGUGAGAAUGCCGGUGUGAGUAGCGAAAGACGGGUGAGAAUCCCGUCCACCGAUUGACUAAGGUUUCCAGAGGAAGGCUCGUCCGCUCUGGGUUAGUCGGGUCCUAAGCUGAGGCCGACAGGCGUAGGCGAUGGAUAACAGGUUGAUAUUCCUGUACCACCUAUA